rnacentral:rRNA from 1 species
AUUGAACGCUGGCGGCAUGCCUUACACAUGCAAGUCGAACGGCAGCGGACCUUCGGGUGCCGGCGAGUGGCGAACGGGUGAGUAAUAUAUCGGAACGUACCUUUCAGUGGGGGAUAACGUAGCGAAAGUUACGCUAAUACCGCAUAUUCUGUGAGCAGGAAAGCAGGGGAUCGCAAGACCUUGCGCUGAUUGAGCGGCCGAUAUCAGAUUAGCUAGUUGGUGAGGUAAGGCUCACCAAGGCGACGAUCUGUAGCGGGUCUGAGAGGAUGAUCCGCCACACUGGAACUGAGACACGGUCCAGACUCCUACGGGAGGCAGCAGUGGGGAAUUUUGGACAAUGGGCGCAAGCCUGAUCCAGCCAUGCCGCGUGAGUGAAGAAGGCC